CCUUGGUUAUGUGUGCACUUCUUAGAGGGACUGUCGGUUCCUAGCCGAAGGAAGUUCGAGGCAAUAACAGGUCUGUGAUGCCCUUAGAUGUUCUGGGCCGCACGCGCCCUACACUGAUACGUUCAUCGAGCUUACAACCUUGGUCGGGAGGCCUGGGUAAUCUUUUCAAAGCGUAUCGUGCUGGGGAUAGAUUAUUGUAAUUAUUAAUCUUCAACGAGGAAUUCCUAGUAAGCGCGAGUCAUCAACUCGCACUGAUUACGUCCCUGCCCUUUGUACACACCGCCCGUCGCUGCUACCGAUUGAAUGCAUUAGUGAGUCUUGGGGAUCGUUUCUCUUGAGGGUAAAACUUCGGGUUAGAUGAGAACCAAUACAAACUUGCGCAUUUAGAGGAAGCAAAAGUCGUAACAAGGUUUCCGUAGGUGAACCUGCGGAAGGAUCAUUACAACGUAUCCACGUAUAAACCUUUGUGAACCUGUUUAACCUGCAUAUUGCAAAAUCGCAAAGCGUCAACGAUUUGGAAUCAGAGUUGACGCCCGCUCAUCCUAGCGAUGAGGGAUUCUGUAGUGUGUUUUUCCAUUACAUAUUAACCACAUGUAAAUUUCUAUGUACUAACGGUUCUAGGCGAAAGCCUUUAACUGAUAAUAUAAGA
rnacentral:rRNA from 1 species